rfam:Schizophyllum commune H4-8 unplaced genomic scaffold SCHCOscaffold_11, whole genome shotgun sequence.
GGCGAGAUGGCCGAGCGGUCUAAGGCGCUAGAAUCAGGAGAGUGGGUUUCGAACCCACGCUUCAGGGUAAUCUAGUUCUUCGGAGCGUGGGUUCGAAUCCCACUCUCGUCA